rnacentral:rRNA from 1 species
CCUACGGGUCGCUGCAGUGGGGAAUAUUGGACAAUGGGCGAAAGCCUGAUCCAGCCAUGCCGCGUGUGUGAAGAAGGCCUUCGGGUUGUAAAGCACUUUCAGUGGGGAAGAAAGCCUUGGGGCUAAUACCCUCGAGGAAGGACAUCACCCACAGAAGAAGCACCGGCUAACUCCGUGCCAGCAGCCGCGGUAAUACGGAGGGUGCGAGCGUUAAUCGGAAUUACUGGGCGUAAAGCGCGCGUAGGCGGUCUGAUAAGCCGGUUGUGAAAGCCCCGGGCUCAACCUGGGAACGGCAUCCGGAACUGUCAGGCUAGAGUGCAGGAGAGGAAGGUAGAAUUCCCGGUGUAGCGGUGAAAUGCGUAGAGAUCGGGAGGAAUACCAGUGGCGAAGGCGGCCUUCUGGACUGACACUGACGCUGAGGUGCGAAAGCGUGGGUAGCAAACAGGAUUACAUACCCGUGUAGUC